rnacentral:rRNA from 1 species
CCUACGGUGUGCUGCAGUGAGGAAUAUUGGUCAAUGGUCGGGAGACUGAACCAGCCAAGCCGCGUGAGGGAUGAAGGUACAGAGUAUCGUAAACCUCUUUUGUCAGGGAACAAAGGCGGGGCCGUGUCCCCGGAUGAGUGUACCUGAAGAAAAAGCAUCGGCUAACUCCGUGCCAGCAGCCGCGGUAAUACGGAGGAUGCGAGCGUUAUCCGGAUUUAUUGGGUUUAAAGGGUGCGCAGGCGGUCUGUUAAGUCAGCGGUCAAAGCCCGGGGCUCAAACCCGGCCCGCCGUUGAAACGGGCAGUCUCGAGUUGGAGAGAAGUAUGCGGAUUGCGCGGUGUAGCGGUGAAAUGCAUAGAUAUCACGCAGAACUCCGAUUGCGAAGGCAGCAUACCGGCGCCCAACUGACGCUGAAGCACGAAAGCGUGGGUAUCGAACAGGAUUAGAUACCCUAGUAGUC